UCGCGUACGUGCUCAGCGC
rnacentral:misc_RNA from 1 species